rnacentral:rRNA from 1 species
UGGGGAAUCUUGCACAAUGGGGGCAACCCUGAUGCAGCGACGCCGCGUGAGCGAUGAAGCCCUUCGGGGCGUAAAGCUCUUUCGACCGGAACGAUAAUGACGGUACCGGGAGAAGAAGCUGCGGCUAACUACGUGCCAGCAGCCGCGGUAAUACGUAGGCAGCAAGCGUUGUUCGGAGUUACUGGGCGUAAAGAGUGCGUAGGCGGUUUUCUAAGUUCGGUGUGAAAUCUCCCGGCUUAACUGGGAGGGUGCGCCGAAGACUGGGAAGCUGGAGUGUGGGAAAGGCAGGCGGAAUUCCUGGUGUAGCGGUGAAAUGCGUAGAUAUCAGGAGGAACACCGGCGGUGUAGACGGCUUGCUAGACCAUAACUGCCGCUGAGGCACGAAAGCGUGGGUAGCAAACA